CUUAUACUCACAAAGACUGAGAUGCUCAAGCCAGGCCGCAACCUCCUCCGUUCCCCAGAGGUGAACUGUCAGAGAUGGAAAAGCAGGAGUGUGUUGAAUACCCACAGCCCAGAGAAAAGGCAGGAAGAAAAGGAGAACAGAAAUCUGGACCUAAACACACCAGCCAUCCAGCCUCCUCACCAGCCUCUAAAUAAGAAGGAAUAAAAGAAUCUUAAAUCCAGAAACUCUAAACCGCCAUCUUCAACUGGCAAAUUUGAGAAAUACUUACAUCAUCUUCUUUAGUGCCUCCCCAAAAGUUGGUGCCUCCAGCAUAGCUAGGGAUGUUGAGAACAGCAAUUCCCUGAAGACUGGGUAAAGGGAUUGGACGCCCAUCACACUGCAAAAUAUACAGAUGAUUUCAUAAUGCAUAAACAAUCCACAUGUUCAAAAACUCAUUAGGUUAGCCUCUUUUCAAAAUGCAAGUGAAAUGAAACAGCUGUCCAGUGUUUACUUAUAGAUUUUGCCAUCUAACUUCACAAACUUCUUGAUCAUAAACAUGAUAGAAGAAGUACUAUGUGAAAAGCUGUGCUGGGUUUUGACCAACCAGGAUGGGGCAUGCUGAGGACCUAGAGAGGUGUUCUUGAAGGUAAAAACAGAAUGUUUUUGUUAUUUGCUCUUUUUCCACAUUCACGGGGCUCCUGUGCCCCUGAGUCAGCAAAUGUGGAGGGACAAGUGUACUCACAAUUACAGUGGAGAAGUUAGCCCCCCCCAAAAGAAACCCUGUUUUUUAAAAAACUUAUUUUAUAUAAGGAACUUAAAACAAGAACAAAGAUCCUUUUCUUAAAGAAUAACAACACAUAUUUCAGUGUACAAUAGAUGGCUUUUCUCCAAGUGCAAUCAGAAGAGGAUUUAUUUGGACAAACUAUUGUAAUACAGUACUUGUGCUAAGAAAAUAGAAAACUUUCCUUUAAAAAGCACUGCAUGAGUCUGGCCUUUUUGUGGUUUUAAAAUAAGUUUCUAGUCAACUGUUAAAUAACCUAAAAGUGUAUCAUCCUAUGUAUGAUGGUUUGAUUCCAACCACGAUUCCUGGUCUGACACACCAGAUCUUGAUUAAAAUGAAAGGUGAUCCUGACAUAUUCCCUUUUGUAUCCAUGUAGGAGGGAAAACAGGGAUCACUAAAGCACAUGCAUGUAACUAAAAUGAUUUAGAAUUAAUUUAAAUGCAGUCACACUAUGUUUCUCAAAAGAUCUCUGUUUACAGGUAUAUGUCUCUCUUUUUCAAUUGUGCACCACCUGUGAAAUCUAUGUGUAUAUGCUUUGAAAUACGCAAUUUUUAGUUUAAUAAACUAUAGAUUAUUAGAUAGGAAUGACUGACAGAAUCACAUGAUCCCUCCGGUAUUUCUUAUUAUUUGUGUCCUGAUUUAAUUAAACCACAUUGUGAUACAUUUUAUAGUGUAUUACACCCUAAAAUGGGGAACUGUGGCUUAAUGUCAACUUCCAAACCCAAAUCUUGAAUCAUAAUUUGAAGUCAACUGAAGAUUCUGACUAGUCAAUUGACAUUAAAUUGCAUCUGGAUGUUAUGACUGUGUGUGGUUUAAUAAAAGAAGGCUGUGUCUCCCAAAAAACAGAGAUGGAUAAGUUAGAAGCAUGCAAUCUUAUGACUUCUUUUUCAGCUAAAUUCAGGAUUGCACAUCAUGCUAACCCAUAGUAUAACAUUAUGAAUGAGUUGGAAAGGUCAUAAGCAAAGCAACAGGCUUACAUACUUCUCUCUCCUCACUCUUUCUACUGAACAUCUAUUGAAAUAUAUGGCAUAUUUCUUAUCAUUUGAAAAUAUAGGGGCCAUGCUAGGAUACAUUACCUCUAGCAAAACUUUCUGUUCUAAGUUUUUGUAAGUUCUGUGUAGCAGCUCUUUUGUUCCAAGAACUCCAUACCACAUCAUGUUUUUUGUACGACUUCUGGUAAGGAAAAUUGAAAGAUCAAAUUAUCCCAUGGAUCUGCAGUUGAUAUUAUGGCAUUCAGAACAAUUUUUCAGGCUCAAUCAGGCUAUUAAAAUAUAUCCCACAAUCUCCCUGAGGCAAGAAUUAAUAAAGGUA